GAUGAAGAACGUAGCGAAAUGCGAUAAGUAAUGUGAAUUGCAGAAUUCAGUGAAUCAUCGAAUCUUUGAACGCACCUUGCGCCCUUUGGCCAUUCCGAAGGGCAUGCCUGUUUGAGUAUCAUGAACACCUCAACUCUUUAUGGUUUUCCAUGAUGAGCUUGGACUUUGGGGGUUUUGCUGGCCUAUGGUCGGCUCCUCUAAAAUAAAUCAGCUUACCAGUGUUUGGUGGGUAUCAUGGGUGUGAUAACUAUCUACGCUUGUGGUUUUCCGCCAGGUAACCUUCGACAGCGGAGGUUCACUGGAGCUCAUAGAUGUCUCUCCUCAGCGAGGACAGCCCUUUGAAUGUUUGAUCUCAAAUCAGGUAGGACUACCCGCUGAACUUAAGCAUAUCAAUAAGCGGAGGA
rnacentral:misc_RNA from 1 species